rnacentral:rRNA from 1 species
UGGGGAAUAUUGGGCAAUGGGCGGAAGCCUGACCCAGCGACGCCGCGUGGGGGAAGAAGUCUUUCGGGAUGUAAACCCUUGUUGUACGGGACGAAGGAAGUGACGGUACCGUACGAGGAAGCCCCGGCAAACUACGUGCCAGCAGCCGCGGUAAUACGUAGGGGGCGAGCGUUGUCCGGAAUCACUGGGCGUAAAGCGCACGUAGGCGGGCUGUCAAGUCGGCCGUGAAAGGCAUGGGCUCAACCUGUGCAUGUCGGUCGAUACUGGCGGUCUGGAGUAUGGGAGAGGGAACUGGAAUUCCCGGUGUAGCGGUGAAAUGCGUAGAUAUUAGGAGGAACACCAGUGGCGAAGGCGGCCUGCUGGACGACAACUGACGCUGAGGCGCGAAAGCGUGGGGAGCAAACA